rnacentral:rRNA from 1 species
AAUAUUGGACAAUGGGCGAAAGCCUGAUCCAGCGACGCCGCGUGGGUGAAGAAGGCCNNNGGGUUNUCAAGCCCUUUCGGUGGNGACNAAAAGCCUCGACCUAAUACGUCGGGGUCUUGACGUAACCCACAGAAGAAGCACCGGCUAACUCUGUGCCAGCAGCCGCGGUAAUACAGAGGGUGCGAGCGUUAAUCGGAAUUACUGGGCGUAAAGCGCGCGUAGGCGGUUUUGCAAGUCGGGUGUGAAAUCCCCAGGCUUAACCUGGGAACUGCAUUCGAGACUGCAUUGCUAGAGUAUGGGAGAGGGAAGUGGAAUUUCCGGUGUAGCGGUGAAAUGCGUAGAUAUCGGAAGGAACAUCAGUGGCGAAAGCGACUUCCUGGACCAAUACUGACGCUGAGGUGCGAAAGCGUGGGGAGCAAAC